GCAGAUGUGGCGGAAUGGCAGACGCGCUAGCUUCAGGUGCUAGUGCUCGCAAGGGCGUGUGGGUUCAAGUCCCACCAUCUGCACCA
rnacentral:tRNA from 4 species